UACGGGGGGGGCAAGCGUUGCUCGGAAUUACUGGGCGUAAAGCGCACGUAGGCGGGUUGUUAAGUCGGGGGUGAAAUCCUGGAGCUCAACUCCAGAACUGCCUUCGAAACUGACGAUCUUGAGUUCGGGAGAGGUGAGUGGAACUGCGAGUGUAGAGGUGAAAUUCGUAGAUAUUCGCAAGAACACCAGUGGCGAAGGCGGCUCACUGGCCCGAUACUGACGCUGAGGUGCGAAAGCGUGGGGAGCAAACAGG
rnacentral:rRNA from 1 species